AUUCUGUGUUUCCCUCUCUCUCUGCCCCUUGCCUGCUCACGCUCUCUGUCUCAAAGAUAAAUAUUAAAAAAAAAAUUUUAAAGGUCCUUAUGAUCAAUCGCUAUUCUUGCUGAGCUUAUGUGAGUAAUUAGGCCAAGUUUGCUAGAACCGGACUUGUUUUACAAAUGAAUUAGUCUGGAUUCGGCUGUCUCCGAAUAUGAGGGUUUUUAGACAGAAAAUCUAUUUUCGAUAAUGCACUUUUAUGGAUGUUAAACUCUAGUUUUGAGGGGCGCCUGGGUGGCGCAGUCGGUUAAGCGUCCGACUUCAGCCAGGUCACUAUCUCGCGGUCCGUGAGUUCGAGCCCCGCGUCAGGCUCUGGGCUGAUGGCUCAGAGCCUGGAGCCUGUUUUCGAUUCUGUGUCUCCCUCUCUCUCUGCCCCUCCCCCGUUCAUGCUCUGUCUCUCUCUGUCCCAAAAAUAAAUAAAAAACGUUGAAAAAAAAUUUAAACUCUAGUUUUGAUUUAGUCUUUAGUUUGAUUUAGUCUUUAGUUUUGAUCUAGUCUUUAAAUGUUUGUUGUUUGCCUAAACUGGACAACUUGAGGUAAACUUCAGAAAAAUGGUCACAAUAGUACAGACAUGGACAAUCUUCUUGCUUGUUAUUCUGCGGUAAUAAUAACCCCAGGGGCAUAUGAUUUAAACAACUGGAAAAUGGUAUGGAUUACCCCAACAAUUGUAUAUGAAAUGACUUUUCUCACUGUAAGUCUAUCAACAGAUAAAGAAUAUAGUGCCUUAUUAAAUUAUUCGCUUGCGGCCGGAUUGAAUCAUGAGUCUCUAAAUAUGCAAACCAUAGUCUCUAAACCUGAUCUGACAGUUACUAGCAACCCAUGCCAUAUAAACCCCAAAGCCUGCUUUAUUUAAAGGAUCGAAAGUCUAAUACAACAGGGAAUUUAACUCCAAAAUUAAAGGGUCAUAUUAUGUACUUCCACUGCUGUAAAGUUAGAGGGCACUCUUCAUGGGCUCCUGCAUCUAGAUAAAACCUGUACCCCUUUACAGGAAAUCAAUGAGCGAACUAAUGUGACCUCUAAUUCUUGUGAACCUGUGGGAGAAAUCAAACUUCUCUUAUGAUGGUUGUACCUUUCUUUUUCAUUCUCCUUUCCCCAAUUUCUACUAAUAAUUCCUUCUUACAAUGGGCCACUCAAAAGGAUCACCACAGAUAUUUGAGUUACACACUCAAAUACAGAAAGACCAAUCUGAUUCCUGCUGCCCGUUCCCACUCCCAUGUGAGGAUGCUUCCAGCCUGACAUCUAAAAAUCUCACUGGCAGCACUUAUUAAUUGCCUGAUUGCUUACUAAACAAAACAUAAUCUGUAGGAUGGUUAACCACCACCUGUUACCCAGUUAAGGCCUUAAAUGACUCUCACAAUAACAUUAUAUUACUAAAUACUAAAAUAACUCAAAUGCAUGAAACAGUUCUACAACAUAGAAUGACAUUCGAUGUUUUAACUGCCGCACAGGUGGAACUUAUACUCUCAUAAAAACAAAGUGCUGUGUAUACAUUCCAGAAUACCACAAAACUAUUUCUGGAUUUCUAACUGACAUGAAUACUCAAACUGGCGCUUUAAACAAUCCCUCUCUUUCCUGAAUGAUUGGUUAAACAUCUAGACUGGAGGUUUUUUGUCAGCUACCAAAGGACUUUUAUUUGGGCUAACCUUUCUAGUUAUUCUAAUUAUGUUUUGCUGUUUUCUCCCAUGUCUGUCUGCCUCGUGCCGAGACUCCAUCACUGCAAUAACUUCAAGCCAACAGAUGAUCCUUUCUACUCCAGGAGCUUCGUGUACAUUGUCAGUGUUGGAUUCAGCUGCUUCUGCCUUUCAUGACUCCCCUAUACCUUCCCGACCGACCAAUGUUGAUCCGUAGGCGGGGACAUCUCUAUGCCCCUACUCAGCAGGAGGAAGCCACGGAAAACGAGACCUCUACCGUCAGCAACCUUAAAGAUGGCUGCACAGUCUCCACCCACCUUCUGUGACACUGGCCUCACCCGAUGGAACAACUGCCUGCCCUCUCGUCCAGACACUUCUGCUCUCACUCAUGUCUAUUGCUGUGUCCACCACGGACCUAAGCCCACCGCAGUCAGGAACAUGGUAAACGAGGAAUCAUUUCUCUACUGAGCCCAUGGGCUCAAAAAAAAGAACACAGCUCUCGUUCUUCGGUGAAGACACAGGCUUCAUGGAGCAUUUACUUGGGUAGCGCUCCAUAAAUUCUCCAUGCCAUUCAAGCAUGUCUCUAUAUACCUUUUGAAACGUGUUUUUAACCCAACAAGGGAUUUUACCACACGGACUUCUUCAGUUGCUUUGUUCCCCUAGCAAGGCUUUUCGGACUUCCUUCAGAGUCCCUACAUUUGGGACAUUGUCCUUGGGUCCUUGACUUCCCAACUGAAUUCUCUCUUCUACGUUCCUUCAUUCCCAUGGUUUGGACAAUGGUGAGAUAGAGCUAGAUCUUGGGUCUCCUAGGCUGGUGUAUCUGCAGGAAACCCUCUAAGACAUGAAGUCACAGAGCUGACACAGGGGAUCGGUGGCACUUCGGAGAGGCUGGCCCCCUGAGCCCACUCACCCAGGGCGUCAUCACCACAGCAGCCAGACCUGCCCGUGCCCUCGCAGACAGGACGGGCCUGCGUCCCCGCUCGCCUCACCCUGCAGGGUCGCACCCUGCGUUCUCCUCAAACGCUGCGUUUCCUGUCUCAUCCCCAUCCUUCCCCUGCCCCAGCUGGUCCCCGCCGCCCCUGCUGCAGGACCACAGGACUCUUGGCCGCCUCACUGGCCCCACCCUACUGCCCUUCAGGGCCACCAGCCCCUUCUGCCAUGCGCGACUAGCUCCCGGUCCGGGGGUCUCCAGACCGCGGCCACUCCCUCCAGCCCCUUCAGUGGCCCCACGUUGUGGGUGGACUCCUCUCCGCUGCUUGCAACAAUAUUCGUAUAAUUUGUGUGUUGCUAGACAUCACCUAUCUCAUCUGUUUCCAAGUUCACUAUCAUGGAGUUAUGUCUGUGAAAAUCUCACAUAAUAAAAACAGGCCUGUAACUUA